UACGGAGGGGGCUAGCGUUGUUCGGAAUUACUGGGCGUAAAGCGCACGUAGGCGGCUUUGCAAGUUAGAGGUGAAAGCCCGGGGCUCAACUCCGGAAUUGCCUUUAAAACUGCAUCGCUAGAAUUGUGGAGAGGUAAGUGGAAUUCCGAGUGUAGAGGUGAAAUUCGUAGAUAUUCGCAAGAACACCAGUGGCGAAGGCGGCUGUCUGGUCCGGUUCUGACGCUGAGGCGCGAAAGCGUGGGGAGCAAACAGG
rnacentral:rRNA from 1 species